CAGUAGCCGCGGGAAUACGGAGGGGGCUAGCGUUGUUCGGAAUUACUGGGCGUAAAGCGCACGUAGGCUGCUUUGUAAGUCAGAGGUGAAAGCCCGGGGCUCAACCCCGGAUGUGCCUUUGAGACUGCAGGGCUAGAACGUCGGAGAGGUGAGUGGAAUUCCGAGUGUAGAGGUGAAAUUCGUAGAUAUUCGGAAGAACACCAGUGGCGAAGGCGGCUCACUGGACGACUGUUGACGCUGAGGUGCGAAAGCGUGGGGAGCAAACAGGAUUAGAUACCCCCGUAGUCCCUGUCUCUUAUAC
rnacentral:rRNA from 1 species